rnacentral:lncRNA from 1 species
AUGAGACAAAUGGUCAUGAUCCUUCUGAUGGAAAAACUUUCCAUUCCAGUAAAAAUAUCUAAGAAUUGGUCAUGGUUACUUGCAUUUAGUGUCAUAACCAGACUGCAGCUGAGCCAGUACGCUACCAUCCCUUGGAACUCCACGACUGCAGUGCCCUCCUGCCGACUUCCGGGUUUCCGACUGCUGGACGCUGCAUCUAC